UGCCUGACGUAGACGCUAUUCCCUAAGAUUAACCCAUGCAUGUUUUUGAAGAUUAUUAUCUGAAAAAUGGACUGCUCAGUAAUACUCACUUUAUUUUAUGUGCACCGCAGAUAACUACGUUAAAGUGUAGAUAACAUGUGUACAGUAAGAGUGAGACCUAUCAGCUAGUUGUUAGGGUAAUGGCUUAACAAGGCAGUGACGGGUAACGGUAUUACUUUGUAAUAUUCCGGAGAAGGAGCCUGAGAGACGGCUACUAAGUCUAAGGAUUGCAGCAGGGGCGAAACUUGACCUAUGGAUUUUAUCUGAGGCAGUUAUGGGAAGUAAUAUAUUAUUGUUUCAUAUUUUAAAAAUAUAUGAGGUGAUUAAUUGGAGGGCAAAUCAAGUGCCAGCAGCCGCGGUAAUACUUGUUCCAAGAGUGUGUAUGAUGAUUGAUGCAGUUAAAAAGUCCGUAGUUUAUUUUUAAGAAG
rnacentral:rRNA from 1 species